rnacentral:rRNA from 1 species
AACGAACGCUGGCGGCAUGCCUAACACAUGCAAGUCGAACGAGACCUUCGGGUCGAGUGGCGCACGGGUGCGUAACGCGUGGGAACCUGCCCUUAGGUUCGGAAUAACUCCCCGAAAGGGGUGCUAAUACCGGAUAAUGUCUUCGGACCAAAGAUUUAUCGCCUUUGGAUGGGCCCGCGUUGGAUUAGCUAGUUGGUAGGGUAAAAGCCUACCAAGGCGACGAUCCAUAGCUGGUCUGAGAGGAUGAUCAGCCACACUGGGACUGAGACACGGCCCAGACUCCUACGGGAGGCAGCAGUGGGGAAUAUUGGACAAUGGGCGAAAGCCUGAUCCAGCAAUGACGCGUGAGUGAUGAAGGCCUUAGGGUUGUAAAGCUCUUUUACCCGGGAUGAUAAUGACAGUACCGGGAGAAUAAGCUCCGGCUAACUCCGUG